GAACGCACAUUGCGCCCGCCAGUAUUCUGGCGGGCAUGCCUGUUCGAGCGUCAUUUCAACCCUCAAGCCCAGCUUGGUGUUGGGGAUCGGCACAGGCGCCCUCGGGCGCCAGCCGUCCCCUAAAUCUAGUGGCGGUCCCGCUGCAGCCUCCUCUGCGUAGUAGUUUUCUCCUCGCAAGGGCAGCUCGGUGGCGACCUCGCCGUAAAACCCCCAACUUCUGAAAGGUUGACCUCGAAUCAGGUAGGAAUACCCGCUGAACUUAAG
rnacentral:misc_RNA from 1 species